UACAGAGGGUGCGAGCGUUGUCCGGAAUCACUGGGCGUAAAGGGCGCGUAGGUGGUGGCUUAAGCGUGCGGUGAAAGCUCGGGGCUCAACCCCGAGUCGGCCGUGCGAACUGGGCUCACUGGAGCAUAGUAGAGGCAGGUGGAAUUCCGGGUGUAGCGGUGGAAUGCGUAGAGAUCCGGAAGAACACCGGUGGCGAAGGCGGGUCUCUGGGCAGUAACUGACGCUGAGGAGCGAAAGCGUGGGGAGCGAACAGG
rnacentral:rRNA from 1 species